UGCCUAAUACAUGCAAGUCGAACGCUUCUUUCCUCCCGAGUGCUUGCACUCAAUUGGAAAGAGGAGUGGCGGACGGGUGAGUAACACGUGGGUAACCUACCCAUCAGAGGGGGAUAACACUUGGAAACAGGUGCUAAUACCGCAUAACAGUUUAUGCCGCAUGGCAUAAGAGUGAAAGGUGCUUUCGGGUGUCGCUGAUGGAUGGACCCGCGGUGCAUUAGCUAGUUGGUGAGGUAACGGCUCACCAAGGCCACGAUGCAUAGCCGACCUGAGAGGGUGAUCGGCCACACUGGGACUGAGACACGGCCCAGACUCCUACGGGAGGCAGCAGUAGGGAAUCUUCGGCAAUGGACGAAAGUCUGACCGAGCAACGCCGCGUGAGUGAAGAAGGUUUUCGGAUCGUAAAACUCUGUUGUUAGAGAAGAACAAGGACGUUAGUAACUGAACGUCCCCUGACGGUAUCUAACCAGAAAGCCACGGCUAACUACGUGCCAGCAGCCGCGGUAAUACGUAGGUGGCAAGCGUUGUCCGGAUUUAUUGGGCGUAAAGCGAGCGCAGGCGGUUUCUUAAGUCUGAUGUGAAAGCCCCCGGCUCAACCGGGGAGGGUCAUUGGAAACUGGGAGACUUGAGUGCAGAAGAGGAGAGUGGAAUUCCAUGUGUAGCGGUGAAAUGCGUAGAUAUAUGGAGGAACACCAGUGGCGAAGGCGGCUCUCUGGUCUGUAACU
rnacentral:rRNA from 1 species